AUCACAAUCUCAACACAUAAUUGAUAAAGAACUAUUUCUCUCUCUCUCUCUCAGACAGAGAGACAGACAGAGAGAUCGCUUGUGCGUAUUCUGGGUUCUGAGGAGCUCAGGGCCUGCCUCAAAGUUUGAAGAUUCACAGGCUCCUGCUUCAGGACUGAACCUCAAUGUCCCCCACUGCACCUCAGGUUUCCCGCCUUUUCUGUAGUCUCAGUGUGUAUGAGCCGUUCAGGGUCUGCCCUGAUAGAAGCGGGGACACAUGUUGAAUGUAAUCAUUAUGUGCUGCAAAUAUGUACUAAUAAAAACUUUCAAUUUUUUUUUAAGAUAAAGAGGUUCCUCAACGACAAUGCUAAAGUGCCUUCCAGUGAAUCUUCCCAACCAAAUCAGAUGUGAUAAAGAGCCAGCAGGGGGGCCGGGGGCAAGCAAACCAAUGUUAACCCAAAUAGGGUAAGAAACGCCAACAGGACAGGAAAGAGCCAAAAGCAGUCCAGAAUCACAGCGCGCCUGCGCAUUCUAGCCGGAAGUUCACUGGAAAGACGGAAGUGCCGGAUGUAACUGUCUGAAGUUGAGGUGAUCCUUAGUUCUGAAAGGAAGGCGAAGGAGGCAGAUCUUGAAGCUCAGGAUCCUGCACAGCCAGCGAGCCAAGAGGAUCAGAGGUGCAGAGAGGUUAACUGACUCGCCUGAAGAUGCGCAGAUGACAAGUGACAAGCUGCCAUUGGAACCCCCAUCUUCUAAGCCAAAGUUUUCCCCCCUUGCAAAGAAACUAUGGCUCUGAUGUCAACUGAAAGGAAGGAGAGUAUGGAUGAAUGGAGGAGGGGAAUGGAGAUCCCAGAUGGUCAUUUUUGUCUGCUGAUGGUCACCAGACACUGAUUCAGAGCAGCUUACAAGAAGAAACUGAUGCUCCAGUGCCCUGAAGGUUGUUUCUACCAGCUGUGUUUGCCUCCGUGGGAAUGGAGCGAACCCAAGAGCUGAAGGCCAGAGCAGGUGAUGCAAGGGAGGAGCCAGCCAGAACAGCUUGGAUGUCUCUGCAGAGACCGAGUCUGUCCAAAGGGAAGCUGUCUCCACACAAGCCAUGGGAAAGGGAUGGAAGACCAUCUCUCAGGACAAAGAGCAGAAAGUAGAAACCGUACAGGCACCUACCCUCCACAGACCCAAAAAGUUGAUGAAAGGCUUGUUGACCGAGGCCUGGAAUUCAAGGAGAAAAGAGAAUACCCAAAGUCCACAUUGCUGGAGGAGAUGUGUGAGAUGGGAAGGAUGCCUGCCUCCUGUUGCCUGGCCUUUUGUGAACCCCUUUUACUUGGGCAUCGGGGAAGUACUCCCAAUCACUGAGGGGCCUGAUGGGAAGGGAAACCCAGAAGGUCAGUGCAAAUACCAGGACUAUGGUUUACCCUCAGCCCUAACCUCAAAUCAACCCUUCUACACAGUCUAGCCUCAACCGUACCUCACCCUUAUCCCUCUCCUUGACCUCACCCCAUCACUCAGCAGUGUCACCCCAGCUGCACUCCAACCCCAGUUGCUCUUGUUGUCUCAAGUCCCACCUCAAACCACCUUCCCCAGCCUCCACUCAAGUGGUCUGACUCAGGGGCCUCUUUCUACACUGGCACUUCCUCCCCACCCACCCCUCUCUGGCUCCCUGCCUGCCAGAAGAUGUGGCUCUGAGCUUUGAGGCCUGGGCCAGUCCUCAAGGUAUUGUCACAAUGUGCUAAUCCAAUGACUGCUCUUGGAGACUGGAAAAUGGGGAACUGAGGGAUAGCCUUCUGCUAUCCCCCAAGCUCCCUCCUUAAUGCCUGUUGCUUUGUGGAUGGGACUGCUCUCCUAGCCACUAAUAUGUUUCCCCUGUAUAAAUGAGAAAGAGAAAGCCUUCAGAAGGCCUCUCUUGAUCAGCUGUAGAGGAAGAGGAAGAACCAUAACCUAUAAUUCUCCAACUAAGCACUCGCCACAUGACCUUAACAAAUCCCCUUAGCCUCGCUUUCCUUAUCUGAGCAUCAGGGAGUCAGCAUCCUCAUCCCAUCCACCUUAGAGGAUUGUUACAAAGAUUAAGCACAAAGGAGCUUAUCUCCAAAUGCAGUUCCUCAUGCUCACUCUUAUACUCUGGUUUUUCUCAACAGUCAUUCUGUCUGCAGUUGAGAGAUCUGAUUUGAGAACUGUUUCCUGUUUCUAAGAAAGACUACAUGUUGUUCACUUUAGAUCCCUUCAGUAGAAGGACAGUUUCCUAAAGGUGGGACUGGGUCCCUUCCACACAUCUGAGGUAGGCUUCGCAGGUAAGAGAGCUUAAUUUAGCUGACCUACUUACUAGGUCCUUAGUAUGAGAAGGGAGAAGGGGAACACAGUUAUAUGGGUUCCCAAGCUUCUUUGACCAAUGAAGACUACAUGGGCUGCCCAAAUAUGCCAAGGGUUUGACCUCUCCCACCCACCCCUUCUCCCCAGUUUCCCCACCCCUGUU